rnacentral:tRNA from 1 species
UGAGCUGUAGCUCAGUGGUAUAGCACAUGCUUAGCAUGCAGGAUGUACUAGGUUUGAUCCUAGCACCUCCC